GGGGGAUAUUGCACAAUGGGGGAAACCCUGAUGCAGCGACGCCGCGUGCGGGAUGACGGCCUUCGGGUUGUAAACCGCUUUUGAUCGGGAGCAAGCCUUCGGGUGAGUGUACCUUUCGAAUAAGCACCGGCUAACUACGUGCCAGCAGCCGCGGUAAUACGUAGGGUGCAAGCGUUAUCCGGAAUUAUUGGGCGUAAAGGGCUCGUAGGCGGUUCGUCGCGUCCGGUGUGAAAGUCCAUCGCUUAACGGUGGAUCUGCGCCGGGUACGGGCGGGCUGGAGUGCGGUAGGGGAGACUGGAAUUCCCGGUGUAACGGUGGAAUGUGUAGAUAUCGGGAAGAACACCAAUGGCGAAGGCAGGUCUCUGGGCCGUUACUGACGCUGAGGAGCGAAAGCGUGGGGAGCGAACAGGAUUAGAUACCCUGGUAGUCCACGCCGUAAACGGUGGAUGCUGGAUGUGGGGCCCGUUCCACGGGUUCCGUGUCGGAGCUAACGCGUUAAGCAUCCCGCCUGGGGAGUACGGCCGCAAGGCUAAAACUCAAAGAAAUUGACGGGGGCCCGCACAAGCGGCGGAGCAUGCGGAUUAAUUCGAUGCAACGCGAAGAACCUUACCUGGGCUUGACAUGUUCCCGACCGCUCCAGAGAUGGGGCUUCCCUUCGGGGCGGGUUCACAGGUGGUGCAUGGUCGUCGUCAGCUCGUGUCGUGAGAUGUUGGGUUAAGUCCCGCAACGAGCGCAACCCUCGCCCUGUGUUGCCAGCACGUCAUGGUGGGAACUCACGGGGGACCGCCGGGGUCAACUCGGAGGAAGGUGGGGAUGACGUCAGAUCAUCAUGCCCCUUACGUCCAGGGCUUCACGCAUGCUACAAUGGCCGGUACAACGGGAUGCGACACGGCGACGUGGAGCGGAUCCCUGAAAACCGGUCUCAGUUCGGAUUGGAGUCUGCAACCCGACUCCAUGAAGGCGGAGUCGCUAGUAAUCGCGGAUCAGCAACGCCGCGGUGAAUGCGUUCCCG
rnacentral:rRNA from 1 species